rnacentral:rRNA from 1 species
AGAGUUUGAUCCUGGCUCAGGAUGAACGCUAGCGGCAGGCUUAACACAUGCAAGUCGAGGGGUAACGGGGUGCUUGCACCGCCGACGACCGGCGCACGGGUGAGUAACGCGUAUACAACCUACCUUAUAGAGGGGGAUAGCCCAGGGAAACUUGGAUUAAUACCCCAUGGCACCAUAGGACCACCUGGUUUUAUGGUUGAACAUUUAUGGCUAUAAGAUGGGUAUGCGUCCCAUUAGCUGGUUGGUAGGGUAACGGCCUACCAAGGCAUCGAUGGGUAGGGGCCCUGAGAGGGGGAUCCCCCACACUGGUACUGAGACACGGACCAGACUCCUACGGGAGGCAGCAGUGAGGAAUAUUGGACAAUGGGGGCAACCCUGAUCCAGCCAUGCCGCGUGCAGGAAGACGGCCCUAUGGGUUGUAAACUGCUUUUGUACGGGAAGAACCGCCACGCUCGUGAGCGUGGUUUGACGGUACCGUAAGAAUAAGGAUCGGCUAACUCCGUGCCAGCAGCCGCGGUAAUACGGAGGAUCCGAGCGUUAUCCGGAAUCAUUGGGUUUAAAGGGUCCGUAGGCGGAAAGAUAAGUCAGUGGUGAAAGUCGGUAGCUCAACUAUCGAAUUGCCGUUGAAACUGUUUUUCUUGAGUUAUUGUGAAGUGGUUGGAAUAUGUAGUGUAGCGGUGAAAUGCAUAGAUAUUACAUAGAACACCGAUUGCGAAGGCAGGCCACUAACAAUACACUGACGCUGAUGGACGAAAGCGUGGGUAGCGAACAGGAUUAGAUACCCUGGUAGUCCACGCCGUAAACGAUGGUUACUAGCUGUCCGGGCACAAUACGUUGUGUUUGGGUGGUUAAGCGAAAGUGAUAAGUACCCCACCUGG